rnacentral:rRNA from 1 species
CCUACGGGAGGCAGCAGUCGAGAAUCAUUCACAAUGGGGGAAACCCUGAUGGUGCGACGCCGCGUGGGGGAAUGAAGGUCUUCGGAUUGUAAACUCCUGAAAUGUGGGAGCAAAUUAAAAGUAUCGUACCACAAGAGGAAGAGACAGGUAACUCUGUGCCAGCAGCCGCGGUAAUACAGAGGUGUCAAGCGUUGUUCGGAAUUACUGGGCGUAAAGCGUGCGUAGGCUGUUACGCAAGUCGUGAGUGAAAGGCGCGGGCUCAACCCGCGAACUGCACAUGAUACUGCGUGACUAGAGUAAUGGAGAGGCAACCGGAAUUCCCGGUGUAGCAGUGAAAUGCGUAGAUAUCGAGAGGAACACCCGUGGCGAAGGCGGGUUCCUGGACAUUAACUGACGCUGAGGCACGAAGGCCAGGGGAGCGAAAGGGAUUAGAUACCCUUGUAGUC